rnacentral:lncRNA from 1 species
UGAAAAAUUACAUCAAAAUAUAUGUGCUAAUUUUGAGUUUGCGUAAGCACCGAGCAUAGAGUCAAUUAGUUAAAAAAAAGAUGAUGACCAUCCUCAAAAUUAAGGAGAUAUAAUCAAAGGGUUUACACGCAACAUCUAGGGGUGUGUUUGGUACGAAGGAAAACAUUUUCCGGAAAAUGUUUUCUAAUUUUCCCAUGUUUGGU